rnacentral:rRNA from 1 species
UACGUAGGUGGCAAGCGUUGUCCGGAUUUACUGGGUGUAAAGGGCGCGUAGGCGGGCUCGUAAGUCAGACGUGAAAUACCGGGGCUCAACCCCGGGGCUGCGUUUGAAACUGCGAGUCUUGAGUGCCGGAGAGGAAAGCGGAAUUCCUAGUGUAGCGGUGAAAUGCGUAGAUAUUAGGAGGAACACCAGUGGCGAAGGCGGCUUUCUGGACGGUAACUGACGCUGAGGCGCGAAAGCGUGGGGAGCAAAUAGG